UGGGAGGUGUCCCUGCCGUGGCAGGGGUGGCACUGGGUGGGAUUUGAGGUCCUUCCAACUGAAUGCGGUCAGUGACGACCACGAUGGUGAUGGGGAAGGACAGAGUGUGACUCUCCAGCAGGAAGAAGAACCUGCUGCAUUCCAUGGCUCUCCAGGCUCCUUUCCUCUGUGCCCACCAGAUUUCUUCCAGGACUCUUUCCCCGAGCUCCAGGCACGUACUGCCAGCUGGGCAUUGCUCCUUGCAGCGGUGCCAGGCCAAACCAAACCACUUUGCACAUCCCACAAAUCAGGAGAUGGAAAAUCCCCUUUGGGGCACUCGGUUCAGCCGCUCCUGCAGCGCAGGGCUGCUCCUGCCAGGACAUUUUCCAUGGAUUUUUCCCUCCCACUUGGAAUGACUCAAGCACAGGGGCUGCACCACUGCCUGGGGAUCCUCCCUGGCUGCACAGCUCCAGGGGAGGGCAUUUUCCUCUCUCUCACACUGAGACUUUCCUUUCCAGAUGUUCAGCUCUUUCCUCCCAUCUGGACCCCCUGGGUUAUUCCCCCCUUCCAUGACAUUUCCCACCCUGAGUUCAUUCCGUGCCUGGCAUCACAUCCCACCACAGGGAGCAAGGGGAGGGUGGGCCCUGGAAAAGGGGCCUCAGAGACCCUCAGUGGAAGGGUCUCCAUCCUCCUGAGAGGUCUGGUGGCACCUGUGCCCAUCCCUUGGGCAGCAGCAGAGUCCCACAGGGCACUGAGCCCUGGCCCCACUCUGGGUGGAGCAGGGUGGGAUCACUCCAGAGCCUGGAGCACCAAGGAGAACAAUCCAUGGGAGCUGGGAUGCUCCACACAAAUCACAUUCCUGGUGUGAAAAUCCCCCCAAGAUUAAUUUCAGGCAGUGCCCUUUUUAUCACCCACCCCAGUGAAUUCCGUGCUGUGAGGAUGAAAACCUGGAUUAGUGUUUCACACCACCACAGCUCUUUGGGGUUUGUUCUUCCUUCAGCAGGGCACUCUCAACCACCUGUAACCACCAAGGACAAAAUUCAACAUCGAAUUUUCAUGAUGGAAAUAAGGGCCUGUUUUAACUAACUAAAAAUGCAGCUGUGGGGGGUUAUCUGCAAAAGGAAAUUUCCCCAGUUUCAUUAUCCUAACUCUUAUUUUGUUAUUGAAAAUGCACAGUACAAAGAAAGACAGUCAUGCUUUUAUUUUGAUUAAUACAUUUUAAUGAUCUGUGGCAUCAGUUUCUAUUUCCAUGCACUUUUAACACUGCUUAGGAACUAAGAUGCUUUUUCCUGCAGUCCAAUUUUUUCUUUUGCAGAAAAACUCCAUCUGCAAGGCACAGUCGGGAUCUCAGAUCCUACACACACCUCAGAGCAAGGUCUAGUGAUCAUCCCAGCUUUGGUUUGUGAUAUCCCAGUGGGAAUGAAGUGAUAUCCAUGGCAAGCUGUGCAUGGCCACUGCUGAUCCCAAUUUCUGCUGAAGGAGCAGUAGGACCAGACAGGAGCUGGACUCUCCAUCAUAUCUGUGGAGAACAUUUUGGGCAGCUUCAGGAAUGGGUGAGUUCAGGAGGUGAGGAAUGGUUUCCCAGGUGGAGCUCAGAGCUGGCUGGGCCGGUGCCUCAUCCUGGCCGCCCUUCCCUUGGGAGGAUCCAGGGAUCUGGUGCUG